rnacentral:lncRNA from 1 species
AACACCCUCGAGCUUGCUUGGGAUUUGUAAAACUGCAAAUAUACAUUGGCAUACUAUUGAUUCUAGGCAAGAUUACAUCUAAUCCCGGCAUAUUACAAUAAUUGAACCAGAUAAAAUCAAAUCAAACCUAAUGAAUGUAAAUCAUGUAAUAAUCUCAAUAGUAAAAUAGCCAAAACUCAAUACAUGGUGAAUAUUGUAAAAUAACCACUGGAGGGAAAACAACAAGUAAAUUGAACCCAACAUUUGUUUCUCUGCAUUCCUAGGUCUAAAUGUUAUACAUCCUACUCCAGCAUAUGUUAAUGUUACUCAGCUGUUAUCGCAUGUUUCCCUCCCGCAGCACAUCGAUCAUGUCGUAUAUUCGCUUCUCUUCUUUCAAUUUCACCUAUAUUCAGAAAACAUCUACUGUUAUUCUUUGGUGNNNNNNNNNNNNNNNNNNNNNNNNNAAUGCAGAGUAAAAAGCUAGAACACAUCACAAAAAUAUUUGAAACUUCUAUUUCUAACUGAAUUUGUUCCUUGAGAUGCAUGGUGAAAGCUCUGCAAAGAGAAGCUCCAAUAACAAAUUUAGACAUUUUUUGUUCAGAUUACCUUCUUAGCAAGGAAAAGUAUAGCAUCAACUGUUCCCUCUGCAUAGAUUGAUCUACCACAAACAUUGUGUUGAAAUUCAAAAGAAACCCUGAAAAAGGAGAUACAAAGUUAAACCUUAUAAAAAAAAAAAGGGAGAUACCAAGUUAAAGUUGUUCAAUUUAUAAACAUUGGCAACAAAAAUAAGAUAGGGGAAAGCAAAGGAUAGACAGUAUUACGUUCCGUCUGGUGAGGUCAGAUGGUACAUGUGGAAAGCAUGACCUAACAAGUGUUCUUCUGGGACACCAACCAUCUCAACUUGUUGCUUGGGAUCUCGUAUUAGUUGUACCUGACAGAAUAUUCAUGAGGAUAAUUAAAUAUUCUGUUAGGGAUCUGAGAAUCGGUAUUCUACCUUGUAAAAUGCAAGUUAUAUAGAAAAAUCACUUUCAACGCUUGAGAGCAAAUUGAAUUUCUCUAUAUGCUCCAACUCCAAUUUAAUUUAAUCUUUCUUCAUUCAUUUCAUUCGCUUUUCCUCCAAAACUCGGAGAAGGCUGAAAAUAUUAGACCUUGUAUCUUUCGUUUCAUUCUCCUUCCCUUCCAAACUUGAAGCACAGUUUGAAAAUAUUUGGUAACUUGACAGUCUGUAGAAAAACCAUCCCAGACAAGCUUAAUAGAACUGUAAUCCUGUACAGGAAAUAGAAUUUACUCGAGACUUUUUGCUGUUAUUGAAAUUGUACAAUGGAUUUAAGAGAACGUGGUGAGUUCUGCUAGAUGAAUGUCCAAGAAAGAAAGAGAAACAUAUAUCUGCAAGUUAACUACAGGAAUGUGUGUCCCAGGAAAAGGGUUGCGGAAGGGGUCGGAAACCCCAUAGCAAAAUGGCACUAUGGGAAGAUAUACGAACCAGAUGGAAUAAGAUAUGAUAUAGGAGCAAGUAGCAUGACAAUAAAGUGCCAGGGAUGAUAAUAUAUUGAUAGCUUCGGAAGAAAAAAUAGUGGAUGUUAUCUGUACUCUAUGUCUGUCAGAUCUCGUCACCAUUUCAGAAAUUUGAUUCAAUAUAAAGAAAAGUUUUAACGCAAAAAGCGCCAUUUUGAAGCCAUACACAGGAGAGGAGGGAGGUGAUACAUUCAUAUUGUACGAGUCUGAUAGCUUUAUCAUCAGAUCCUCUCAUGAAGCCCAUUUCAGUUAUCUAAAACAUGGUUAAGUUAAAACACAACAAAUUUGUUUGUGGCAGUUAUUUCCACUCAACUUGGCUCCACAACCUAGGCCUGAAACUCUCCAUCAAUGACCCUGAAUUCAGAUGCUUCACUUUACGAGCUAUGAAGCAUAAGAACUCCCACGGAGCAAUAAAGUCAAUCUUUUUCUCUAUGCUAUCAGAUUCUUUCCCGUUCAACUUAUUUAAGCAGGACGGUAAAGUUGGCUCCACAACCUAGGCCUGAAACUCUUCAUCAAUGACCCUGAAUUCAGAUGCUUCACUUUACGAGCUAUGAAGCAUAAGAACUCCCACGGAGCAGUAAAAUCAAUCUUUUUCUCUAUGCUAUCAGAUUCUUUCCCGUUCAACUUAUUUAAGCAGGACGGUAUAGUUGGUGGUAUUAGAAAUGGAAUGCAAUGGACUAUGUCAUGCAGUGUCAGGGAAGCCUUUGUGUGUUGGAGCAACUGGAAAGUUGACAAGUCCAUCAAGAAAAUCUGGUCUAUGGUUCCUGCUACUAUUUUGCUGGGCUAAUGGACAAAAAGGAAUCAAAAAUGCUUUGAUGGCGUUACAACUGCCAGAUGCAAACUUAAGGCUAGAUGUUUAGUUUUCCUCUUUUGUUGGGUCAAUCAUACCCGUGUAUAGCCAUGACCUCUUUUUGGAAUUUAUCAGCUCUAUAGUCCUUUAAUAGGUUUCUUUUUUGUCUUCCUUAGGAGCUGAUAUCUUCCUCUUUUGUAAUUUAUGCAUCUUCUGGAUGCUUCUGUUAUUAAUAUACAGGCACUCACAUCAUCAAAAAAAGUUGGUGGUAUUAGAAAAUAGUCAAAUUGUGUAAAGAUGAACGUGUUCGUAAAAGUAUAGAAGACCACGAGCACUAUUUUAUGAAAGGAUAAAGUCAAGACGAAAUAAAAUGGAAGAAGGAAUGGAAAUUUGAGAGAAAAGGGUAUGGAAGAACCACAAUAGGACAAAUGUUCUGUCAUUAUUGAAUAAAAAAAAGUUGUAGACGUACCUCAUCCAAAUCAAAAGAAACGCCUAAUUUCUGAAAGCAAGAGAUAACAGCCUUUGCAGUUCCAGAGGUGUCCAAUUUACUUGCUUGAUGAGACUCCAUCACCUUAUAAUUUGAUAAAGAGGCUCAAAAUUCACACUUCAAUCACAGGAUACUAUAAAUCAAACUCAAUUUUCUGUUAACACAUUGAGAUGAAUAAGACUGCAAAAGGAUCAGCAAAAUAGAGAAUAAUAAAGGGCAAGCAAAGAAGAAAACAAAUGCACCACAAAUACACCGAUAAUUAGCCAAGGCAACAAGCAUGCACAUCACAUAUAUGAUCGGAUUCCCAGAUUUGCCUCAAUUAGAUAUAGAUAUCUUAGGUUAAACAGCACAAUCGAAAAGAGUAACUCCAAUAAUUCUUCGGACCAGUUCCUUCAUAUUUCAGUAAGAAAAGCAUGAGGUAUGUCCACUGUAUGUCAAAUCAGAAGAAGAAAAUAAUAAAAGAACCGAACCAAAGAAAGACAGUCUUUAAAUCGCUCUGCCUAAUCCUGGAGCAUGCAAAUAGUCACCUAAAAUGCAGGCAUGAUACCUGGUGGGUACUAAAUGAUUUAAUAGGAGUUUGGACAAUAUUUGGUUGAAGUUGAAAAAGAGUAUUUUAAUGUUCAGAUAUUUGCAAGGCAUUUCAGACCCCUUAAUGUUCCUGCCUAUUUCUCUCCAUUCAUGAACUCUUAAGAGGCAAACCAAAACCCCAGUUGUAAAAGGAACAGCUGCUAAACUCCUCAAUGAGUGAGGAACAGCCAUUGUAAUCACGCAGCAAGAUGAGAUAACAUCCAGCGGCCUAGUGGCCCAAUCACACACGAAUCGAACAACUGGUGGUUUCAAUUGGCCCUUUAGAUAUCCAGCCACAACAUGGACACGAAAUGCCAAAUACAGCAAUUCGUGUAUACCCGUCACCACUGAGCUAUAUAUCUUCAGUAUUAAAAGCUUCAUGUACACAAUCUCAAGCAAUUACUAUUUUUGAGGUCGUUAACUCUAAAUACAUCCAUAGAAUAUGUACCACGAAGAUGGAUAUUAGUGAAAGAUGUAAAAAUGGUAACCAGUUAUUUAGCGCUUAAUUACUAGUCAAAUUCUGCUGUCUGCCGUAAAAUUGAUUCCCAGUAGCUCUUAACAUUUUCUAUAGCAACAUUAAAUUCAAAAGCCAUUUGGGUUUAAUAUAUGCAAAUCUCCGAAGGAAAAGAAUUUAUGUUAACCUCAUAUACAUGUAUUGUCAACGAGAUCAGAAACCGAAAAUACCAAUGCAAGUAAUGCAACUAGGCACCUUCAUGGUAAAAGAAUGAAAGCAUACAAAAUAUAGUCAGCAUUUCAAUUUAAUCUGAAAUUGUUUAGUUAUCAAGGUCUCAAUAAGAAACACUUUGGCUGAAUAUACAAGAGCUUGUAAACCAAUGGUCAACUCGCACGACGAAGAAGACAAACCUGUAGAGUGUACCCAGAGAAAGCUCCAGGGAAUUGUUCGGACAUGAUUUCCAUGGCUGCGAGAAAAGCUACCACCUAAAACAGAGGCAAGGUAUACCCCCUGUUAAACUAAAGUCUGGCAUACUAUU